GGAAAAAAACAUAAAUGCAAACAAUGAUGGGCAUAUGUAUCUUAAAAUGCAGUUAUUGGUGUUGAUGUUAUUGUUGUUGGUACAU
rnacentral:sRNA from 14 species